AUGUCAUGAUGAGGACACUUUCUCGAUAUUUCCUUGAACCUCCCCCAAGAGUCAUAUAAAGAUUCCCCCUCAUGCUGGUAAAAAUUAUUGAUCUCCCCCCUUACUUU